rnacentral:rRNA from 1 species
GACGAAGGGGGCUAGCGUUGUUCGGAAUUACUGGGCGUAAAGCGCGCGUAGGUGGUUGUCCAAGUUGGAUGUGAAAGCCUUGAGCUCAACUCAAGAAAUGCAUUCAGGACUGGGCGGCUAGAGGACCGGAGAGGAUAGUGGAAUUCCCAGUGUAGUGGUGAAAUACGUAGAGAUUGGGAAGAACACCAGUGGCGAAGGCGGCUAUCUGGACGGUUUCUGACACUAAGACUCGAAAGCGUGGGGAGCAAACAGG